AAAACACGUGGCUUGUUACUUUCGCUUUCCCGCUUGGUGGCCCUGGGCCAGCUGUAGCACCGGCUCCGGAGAGUGCCCCGCAGGCUCCCUGCCCCGCCGCUGGGGAUGCUCUUCAGCCUCUCUUCUUCUAUCCGACUGCGGCUGGGUUUACUCUUUUUUUCGCUUUUUUUUCGGAGCAGGUGGUGGCUGUGGGCAGGGUCGAGAGGUGCUGCGGGGGAAAUCCAGGCACGGGAGCGCUCUGAAGCCCCAGGGAGGCCAGGGGACACUAGAGUUCCAGGGCCUUCCUGCUGAGCCCUUGGCAGCAUCCUCCCCUCCAAGGCCAUUCCUCUCCCCCUCUGGGUGUUACUGCCAGCACCAGGAGUUUAAAUAAGCCCAUCUGGAAGCCAACUCUGCUGACUGUUUCCAGAGCAGCAAGCAAUACUGGUAAAGACCAAGCAAUGCUGG